rnacentral:misc_RNA from 1 species
GCCAUAUUUAUAUAUAAUUAGAUAUUUGUCAAUUAUUCAAUUGGCCAUUUGUUCCUAAUAUGAGCACUAAAAACACACGACUGAAAACAUAGUCUAAACACUUUGGAUAAGUACAUUAAAAAAAAAAAAAGAUCACAAUAGAUGUAUAAUCAUAUUUAACAUGCAUUCUUGAGUAUAUCAUCAUCUUCCAUAGCUGGAAGCAAUUGGUGCUGAUUGUGGCUCACCCAUCUCCAUA